CGAUGGCAUGGCGCGCGGUCGCCACGUCGGCGAUCUUGGCGGCGUGGAAGGUCGGAAACCCGGUCUCACGCCGGAUCUCGCCGGCGAAAUCGA
rnacentral:tRNA from 1 species